AAGCUCGUAGUUGAAUUUCGGGGUCAGUAGGUUGGUCGUGCCACCGGUACAUACUGGUCUCACUGAUUCCUCCUUCCUGAUGAGCUGUAAUGCUAUUAAUUUGGUGUUGCAGGGAAUCUGGACUGUUACUUUGAAAAAAUUAGAGUGUUUAAAGCAGGCUAACGCUUGAAUACAUUAGCAUGGAAUAAUGAAAUAGGACGUUCGAUCCUAUUUUGUUGGUUUCUAGGAUUGACGUAAUGAUUAAUAGGGAUAGUUGGG
rnacentral:rRNA from 1 species